CAGGAGAGCUUUGGUGUCUUUGUCGCUUGUGGCUGCCUCAGCUGAGACCUGGAAGAGUAGCCUGAUGUUCUUGCACAAUUUUCUGCACACACGGCUGAUUUUGCAAGAGUCAACAUCAUGAUUUGGGAGGCCCAUCUGCCAACUGUAACGUGGCUUAAGCUGAGAAGCCUGAGACUCUGCAUGAGGAGCCAGCUUCAACCUCAGCAGGAGGGACGUGGAGCAAAAUGAGAAGUUUGCAGAAUGGCAACCGUCCCUGUCACCAAAGGGAUGCUUUGCUCUGGCCUUUGCUGGUGUUACCUGCACACCAUGCUCUGGGAAAGCACCUCUCUGCUCUGAACACGUGCGGCUGCAGGAGAUACUGAAGUUCAGGAGAGAAGGUUCAGGGCAGAGCUGGGCCCGUGCUGAAGGCUUCUGAAAGCGCUGCUCUGCGAUUGUAGAUCUGGUCCCGUCGCCUCUUGUGACCUCAGCCCUGUUUCACCGCUGCAAGAGACAGCGAGGUCUGGCAGCCCUGCUCGUCUCCAGAUUUGGAAAAUGCAGAUAUUCACAAAGCCAUGCUGCAAACCCAUUUCCUCAAGUGGCUGUCAGGACUGAGAAGGAGAGCCUUUGAAUACCUGGAAGCUGGUUUCCACCAGGAGGUGCCACUGCACGUUACCCAUAGACUGAGGGCUGGCUCUGCUCCAUGACUGUUGAAGAAGAAGGAACACAGUGAAAUUCCACCCAAGGCAUGUUCACUCAGCCGUCCCCAAAUUCCCACAUUGGCUGCUCAUCUCUGCUCUCUAAUUAGGCCCGCUCCAGCUUUGUGGAGGAGGAGAGAGCCGGCGUAUGCAAAAGGUGUACACAGCAAACGUGUGUCUGCUGUGCUGCCGCGUCCCAGCCCGGAGAGACAGCCUCGGCCUGCACACCUCUCUUCAUGGAGCUCCUGGGAUAUAACAGAGGCUUCCCCUGCCAAGGCAAACAACUGACCGAGAGAUGAAGAUGGUGCCAUUGUGGAUAGAGCAGGCUGUGGAAGAUGAAAGACGACAGUGAAGGCAAGUCCCCACUUUUGUCACAUCUCCUCUAGUAAUCCUCCCACCACAGCUGGCUCCCUUUGGAAUAACCACACUAAG